rnacentral:rRNA from 1 species
CCUACGGGUGGCAGCAGUCGAGAAUCAUUCACAAUGGGGGAAACCCUGAUGCUGCGACGCCGCGUGGGGGAAUGAAGGUCUUCGGAUUGUAAACCCCUGUCAUGUGGGAGCAAAUUAAAAAGAUAGUACCACAAGAGGAAGAGACGGCUAACUCUGUGCCAGCAGCCGCGGUAAUACAGAGGUCUCAAGCGUUGUUCGGAAUCACUGGGCGGAAAGGGUGCGGAGGCUGUUUCGUAAGUCGUGUGUGAAAGGCGCGGGCCCAACCCGCGGGAGGGACAUGAAACUGCGAGAGUAGAGGAAUGGGGGGGGAACCGGAAUUCUCGGUGUAGGAGUGAAAUGCGGAGAUAACGAGAGGAA